GACGAACGCUGGCGGCGUGCUUAACACAUGCAAGUCGAACGGAAAGGCCCUGCUUUUGUGGGGUGCUCGAGUGGCGAACGGGUGAGUAACACGUGAGUAACCUGCCCUUGACUUUGGGAUAUCUUUAGGAAACUCCGGCUAAUACAGCAUAGGAGCUCCUGCUGCAUGGUGGGGGUUGGAAAGUUUCGGCGGUUGGGGAUGGACUGGCGGCUUAUCAGCUUGUUGGUGAGGUAGUGGAUUACCAAGGCUUUGACGGGUAGCCGGCCUUGGAGGUGGAACGGCGACAAUGGGACUAAGGUACGGACCAGAAGGGUACGGGAGGCAGCAGUGGGGAAUAUUACACAAUGGGGCGAAGCCUGAUGCAGCAACGCCGCGUGCGGGAUGACGGCCUUCGAGUUGUGAACCGCUUUCGCCUGUGACGAAGCGUGAGUGUCGGUAAUGGGUAAAGAAGCACCGGCUAACUACGUG
rnacentral:rRNA from 1 species